GGUUAAGCGACUAAGCGUACACGGUGGAUGCCCUGGCAGUCAGAGGCGAUGAAGGACGUGCUAAUCUGCGAUAAGCGUCGGUAAGGUGAUAUGAACCGUUAUAACCGGCGAUUUCCGAAUGGGGAAACCCAGUGUGAUUCGUCACACUAUCAUUAACUGAAUCCAUAGGUUAAUGAGGCGAACCGGGGGAACUGAAACAUCUAAGUACCCCGAGGAAAAGAAAUCAACCGAGAUUCCCCCAGUAGCGGCGAGCGAACGGGGAGCAGCCCAGAGCCUGAAUCAGUGUGUGUGUUAGUGGAAGCGUCUGGAAAGGCGCGCGAUACAGGGUGACAGCCCCGUACACAAAAAUGCACAUGCUGUGAGCUCGAUGAGUAGGGCGGGACACGUGGUAUCCUGUCUGAAUAUGGGGGGACCAUCCUCCAAGGCUAAAUACUCCUGACUGACCGAUAGUGAACCAGUACCGUGAGGGAAAGGCGAAAAGAACCCCGGCGAGGGGAGUGAAAAAGAACCUGAAACCGUGUACGUACAAGCAGUGGGAGCACGCUUAGGCGUGUGACUGCGUACCUUUUGUAUAAUGGGUCAGCGACUUAUAUUCUGUAGCAAGGUUAACCGAAUAGGGGAGCCGAAGGGAAACCGAGUCUUAACUGGGCGUUAAGUUGCAGGGUAUAGACCCGAAACCCGGUGAUCUAGCCAUGGGCAGGUUGAAGGUUGGGUAACACUAACUGGAGGACCGAACCGACUAAUGUUGAAAAAUUAGCGGAUGACUUGUGGCUGGGGGUGAAAGGCCAAUCAAACCGGGAGAUAGCUGGUUCUCCCCGAAAGCUAUUUAGGUAGCGCCUCGUGAAUUCAUCUCCGGGGGUAGAGCACUGUUUCGGCAAGGGGGUCAUCCCGACUUACCAACCCGAUGCAAACUGCGAAUACCGGAGAAUGUUAUCACGGGAGACACACGGCGGGUGCUAACGUCCGUCGUGAAGAGGGAAACAACCCAGACCGCCAGCUAAGGUCCCAAAGUCAUGGUUAAGUGGGAAACGAUGUGGGAAGGCCCAGACAGCCAGGAUGUUGGCUUAGAAGCAGCCAUCAUUUAAAGAAAGCGUAAUAGCUCACUGGUCGAGUCGGCCUGCGCGGAAGAUGUAACGGGGCUAAACCAUGCACCGAAGCUGCGGCAGCGACACUAUGUGUUGUUGGGUAGGGGAGCGUUCUGUAAGCCUGUGAAGGUGUACUGUGAGGUAUGCUGGAGGUAUCAGAAGUGCGAAUGCUGACAUAAGUAACGAUAAAGCGGGUGAAAAGCCCGCUCGCCGGAAGACCAAGGGUUCCUGUCCAACGUUAAUCGGGGCAGGGUGAGUCGACCCCUAAGGCGAGGCCGAAAGGCGUAGUCGAUGGGAAACAGGUUAAUAUUCCUGUACUUGGUGUUACUGCGAAGGGGGGACGGAGAAGGCUAUGUUGGCCGGGCGACGGUUGUCCCGGUUUAAGCGUGUAGGCUGGUUUUCCAGGCAAAUCCGGAAAAUCAAGGCUGAGGCGUGAUGACGAGGCACUACGGUGCUGAAGCAACAAAUGCCCUGCUUCCAGGAAAAGCCUCUAAGCAUCAGGUAACAUCAAAUCGUACCCCAAACCGACACAGGUGGUCAGGUAGAGAAUACCAAGGCGCUUGAGAGAACUCGGGUGAAGGAACUAGGCAAAAUGGUGCCGUAACUUCGGGAGAAGGCACGCUGAUAUGUAGGUGAAGUCCCUCGCGGAUGGAGCUGAAAUCAGUCGAAGAUACCAGCUGGCUGCAACUGUUUAUUAAAAACACAGCACUGUGCAAACACGAAAGUGGACGUAUACGGUGUGACGCCUGCCCGGUGCCGGAAGGUUAAUUGAUGGGGUCAGCGCAAGCGAAGCUCUUGAUCGAAGCCCCGGUAAACGGCGGCCGUAACUAUAACGGUCCUAAGGUAGCGAAAUUCCUUGUCGGGUAAGUUCCGACCUGCACGAAUGGCGUAAUGAUGGCCAGGCUGUCUCCACCCGAGACUCAGUGAAAUUGAACUCGCUGUGAAGAUGCAGUGUACCCGCGGCAAGACGGAAAGACCCCGUGAACCUUUACUAUAGCUUGACACUGAACAUUGAGCCUUGAUGUGUAGGAUAGGUGGGAGGCUUUGAAGUGUGGACGCCAGUCUGCAUGGAGCCGACCUUGAAAUACCACCCUUUAAUGUUUGAUGUUCUAACGUUGACCCGUAAUCCGGGUUGCGGACAGUGUCUGGUGGGUAGUUUGACUGGGGCGGUCUCCUCCUAAAGAGUAACGGAGGAGCACGAAGGUUGGCUAAUCCUGGUCGGACAUCAGGAGGUUAGUGCAAUGGCAUAAGCCAGCUUGACUGCGAGCGUGACGGCGCGAGCAGGUGCGAAAGCAGGUCAUAGUGAUCCGGUGGUUCUGAAUGGAAGGGCCAUCGCUCAACGGAUAAAAGGUACUCCGGGGAUAACAGGCUGAUACCGCCCAAGAGUUCAUAUCGACGGCGGUGUUUGGCACCUCGAUGUCGGCUCAUCACAUCCUGGGGCUGAAGUAGGUCCCAAGGGUAUGGCUGUUCGCCAUUUAAAGUGGUACGCGAGCUGGGUUUAGAACGUCGUGAGACAGUUCGGUCCCUAUCUGCCGUGGGCGCUGGAGAACUGAGGGGGGCUGCUCCUAGUACGAGAGGACCGGAGUGGACGCAUCACUGGUGUUCGGGUUGUCAUGCCAAUGGCACUGCCCGGUAGCUAAAUGCGGAAGAGAUAAGUGCUGAAAGCAUCUAAGCACGAAACUUGCCCCGAGAUGAGUUCUCCCUGACCCUUUAAGGGUCCUGAAGGAACGUUGAAGACGACGACGUUGAUAGGCCGGGUGUGUAAGCGCAGCGAUGCGUUGAGCUAACCGGUACUAAUGAACCGUGAGGCUUAACCUU
rnacentral:rRNA from 1 species